rnacentral:rRNA from 1 species
GCCCAGACUCCUACGGGAGGCAGCAGUGGGGAAUAUUGCACAAUGGGGGAAACCCUGAUGCAGCAACGCCGCGUGAGUGAGGAAGUAUUUCGGUAUGUAAAGCUCUAUCAGCAGGGAAUAGAAAAGAAGGUACCUGAAAAAGAAGCCCCGGCUAACUACGUGCCAGCAGCCGCGGUAAUACGUAGGGGGCAAGCGUCAUCCGGAUUUAUUGGGUUUAAAGGGUGCGUAGGCGGAUCGUUAAGUCAGUGGUAAAUAUGGGGGACUCACCCCUUAACCGCCAUUGAAACUGGCGAUCUUGAGUGGAAGAGAAGUAUGCGGAAUGCGUGGUGUAGCGGUGAAAUGCAUAGAUAUCACGCAGAACACCGAUUGCGAAGGCAGCAUGCCGGCUUCCAACUGACGCUGAAGCACGUAAGCGUGGGUAUCGAACAGGAUUAGAUACCCCAGUA